CCUACGGGUGGCAGCAGUGAGGAAUAUUGGUCAAUGGACGAGAGUCUGAACCAGCCAAGUAGCGUGAAGGAUGACUGCCCUAUGGGUUGUAAACUUCUUUUAUAAAGGAAUAAAACGAGGCACGUGUGCCUUUUUGCAUGUACUUUAUGAAUAAGGAUCGGCUAACUCCGUGCCAGCAGCCGCGGUAAUACGGAGGAUCCGAGCGUUAUCCGGAUUUAUUGGGUUUAAAGGGAGCGUAGAUGGGUUGUUAAGUCAGUUGUGAAAGUUUGCGGCUCAACUGUAAAAUUGCAAUUGAUACUGGCAGUCGUGAGUACAGUUGAGGUAGGCGGAAUUCGUGGUGUAGCGGUGAAAUGCUUAGAUAUCACGAAGAACCCCGAUUGCGAAGGCAGCUUACUAAACUGUGACUGACAUUGAUGCUCGAAAGUGUGGGUAUCAAACAGGAUUAGAUACCCGGGUAGUC
rnacentral:rRNA from 1 species